AUUCCUGGAACUGCUGGGUGGAGAACGGAUUGUAGGCUGCCAGAGCGUAUCUGGGAACCCAACACAAGGUUUUUGAACGACGAGAUGGCAGUUCAGACUGGCAGAUGGAGAGCACAGCUCCAAGAAUGUGCAUGACAAUCCUAAAGGGCGACAAUUGUAGCCCAGGACCUGUUUUCCUCUAUGUGCUGUUGCAGUGUUAAAGCGUGGCCACACAUCCCUGACGGCCUCCUGUUUGAUGUGGCCUUAGCACCUGGAAAGAGACUACAAUGGCAGUAAUGCUGUCGCAGCUUCUGGAAUGCCCCCCUCCCCCGCCCCAUCCAGCUGUCACGCUGAGAAGUGAUGCCUUCAAGUCACCUCUAGUCGUCAGCCAUGUGGGCAAAGACUUCAGAGGAUUCAUCCCCAGCUGUUCAGACAGCCUCCAGCCGUUUUCCCAGCGGAGGCCUCAGACAUUGUAGAAUAGAGAAAAACCGCCCCUAUUGUGCCCUGUCCAAAUUCCUGAGCCAUAGGACCCAUGAGUGUAAUAAAAUGCGUAUUGUAUGAAGA